UACGUAGGGUGCAAGCGUUAAUCGGAAUUACUGGGCGUAAAGCGUGCGCAGGCGGUGAUGUAAGACAGAUGUGAAAUCCCCGGGCUCAACCUGGGAACUGCAUUUGUGACUGCAUCGCUGGAGUGCGGCAGAGGGGGAUGGAAUUCUCGGUGUAGCAGUGAAAUGCGUAGAUAUCGAGAGGAACACCAGUGGCGAAGGCGAGUCCCUGGACAACACCUGACACUGAGGCACGAAAGCUAGGGGAGCAAACAGG
rnacentral:rRNA from 1 species